UUACGAUUAUAUCACGUAGAAUCACCGGUUCUCGUAUGAUCACCGAAGUUAAGAAACGUCGAGCCUCCUCAGUACCUAGAUGGGUGACCGCUUGGGAAUACCAGACGCUGUAA